GGCUUGAGGAUGAUGUUGCAAGCCGCACACGCGUUCGGCCUCUAGGAGUCGUCCACACGAGCCCACGAAUCUCGAUCAGAAGUUCUGCUUCAGGAAAUCAGCACAGUAUGCUAGUACUGCGCUGAUCCUUCUUUGAUGGUUGAUCAGGUACUUUCUUCUUCUUGAUUUGGACUCUUCCAAAGAUGGAAAGUAGAAGGAUGAGUUUCAGAUCUGAGACACUCUCAGAAAACUCAAGAUGG
rnacentral:lncRNA from 1 species